rnacentral:siRNA from 1 species
AGAAGCUAGAGACAUAAAUGUGAC